rnacentral:rRNA from 1 species
CGAGGGCUAAACUGUCUCCUUUUUCAAAUCAAUGAAAUUGAUCUUCCCGUGCAGAAGCGGGAAUAAACCCAUAAGACGAGAAGACCCUAUGGAGCUUUAGACACGAAGACAGAUCUUAAUGUACCCGCUAAAACAAAAGACCGAAUCAGAAGAAGCCUGCCCUAAUGUCUUUGGUUGGGGCGACCGCGGGGAAACAAAAAUCCCCCACGUGGAACGAGACCACCUCUCUUACAACCAAGAGUAACAGCUCUAAUUAACAGAACAUCUGACCAUAAGAUCCGGCAAUGCCGAUCAACGGACCGAGUUACCCUAGGGAUAACAGCGCAAUCCCCUUUUAGAGCCCAUAUCGACAAGGGGGCUUACGACCUCGAUGUUGGAUCAGGACAUCCUAAUGGUGUAGCCGCUAUUAAGGGUUCGUUUGUUCAACGAUUAAAGUCCU